rnacentral:rRNA from 1 species
UGCUGUUUCGCUGACGAGUGGCGGACGGGUGAGUAAUGUCUGGGAAACUGCCUGAUGGAGGGGGAUAACUACUGGAAACGGUAGCUAAUACCGCAUAACGUCGCAAGACCAAAGAGGGGGACCUUCGGGCCUCUUGCCAUCGGAUGUGCCCAGAUGGGAUUAGCUAGUAGGUGGGGUAACGGCUCACCUAGGCGACGAUCCCUAGCUGGUCUGAGAGGAUGACCAGCCACACUGGAACUGAGACACGGUCCAGACUCCUACGGGGGGCAGCAGUGGGGAAUAUUGCACAAUGGGCGCAAGCCUGAUGCAGCCAUGCCGCGUGUAUGAAGAAGGCCUUCGGGUUGUAAAGUACUUUCAGCGGGGAGGAAGGGAGUAAAGUUAAUACCUUUGCUCAUUGACGUUACCCGCAGAAGAAGCACCGGCUAACUCCGUGCCAGCAGCCGCGGUAAUACGGAGGGUGCAAGCGUUAAUCGGAAUUACUGGGCGUAAAGCGCACGCAGGCGGUUUGUUAAGUCAGAUGUGAAAUCCCCGGGCUCAACCUGGGAACUGCAUCUGAUACUGGCAAGCUUGAGUCUCGUAGAGGGGGGUAGAAUUCCAGGUGUAGCGGUGAGAUGCGUAGAGAUCUGGAGGAAUA